UAAACUUCAGUCAAAAUAUUUCAGCUGUUUUUGAAAACACAAUUAAGGGGAAAAAAGAACAAACAAAAAAACCCAAACCAAACAAAAAAAAACAAAAACACCCCACAUUGUUUUGAUCAUGUUAAUAUAUUCUGGCAGCCUUUUCUUUUAAUAACUACAGUACAUUCAUCCCUUGGUACAAGGACUUCCUGUUUGCAAGGUGGGUGGCCUGUUUAUCAAAGGUAAACUUAUUGCUAUCCUCACAAAAUAUUGUCAAAGUCUGUCUGUCCAUGUUAUAAACCUUGAAGAGUUUGCAAAAUGUGUUUCCAGUAAAGACUGCACUACAUGAUCCCACUCCAGCCUUGGGCUUCACACUUCUUUCACAACCUUUCAGGCUCCACGCUGAUAACAUGGCUGGCUGGUCUGGGCCUGUGGUCAGAGACCAAGGGUACACUUUCAACAGUCCCAACCCUGAGUCCUGGUGGUAUGGAACACAAAAAAACGGGAGCUGGCCAGGACAGCGGUGGUAUGAUUGGUGUGGUGUGGUGCAGUGUGCUGUGUGGUGUGGUGUGGUGUGGUGCAGUGUGCUGUGUGGUGUGGUGUGGUGUGGUGCAGUGUGCUGUGUGGUGUGGUGUGGUGUGGUGCAGUGUGCUGUGUGGUGUGGUGUGGUGUGGUGCAGUGUGCUGUGUGGUGUGGUGUGGUGUGGGUGUGGUGCAGUGUGCGGUGUGGUGUGUUGUGGUGUGGUGUGGUGUGGUGUGGGGUGUGGUGUGUGGUGUGGUGUGGUGUGUGGUGUGUGGUGUGGGGUGUGUGGUGUGGUGUGGUGUGGUGUGGUGUGGUGUGGUGUGGUGUGGUGUGGUGUGGUGUGGUGUGGUGUGGUGUGGUGUGGUGUGGGGUGUGGUGUGGUGUGGGGUGCGGUGCGGUGCGGUGUGGUGCAGAAGGUGCAGCAUGAGAGGAAAGCUAGGAUGUGUUGCCACAGUGCUGAGAGAAGUGGGAUGGGAAUGAUCAAGAAAAAGGAAAAAGUUGGUGUGGUUACCCUAGACCCAGCUCAAGGUGGGAUU
rnacentral:lncRNA from 12 species